CCCUAAACUCAACAAUAUCCCAAACCUCUCUACCAAGCCAAGAAAAGACUGUAUGAUGGGGUAGAGCCAGGAUUGGACUGGUUUUGGGAUAUGAUGAUGGUAUUGGGGAGGGUCGUCUUGCCUUGCAGGUGACCUACAUUGCCCGGAAUGCAAAAUAUGUGGUUGUCUCCUAAUAUAACUUCUACAACAUGGCCAAGUUGCACCCUGACCCAGGCACCUGGGACAGCUUCUUAGAGAACUUCAUGGAGGGGAAAGUGUCCUAUGGGUCGUGGUACCAGCACGUGAAGCAGUGGUGGGAGCUGAAACACACUCACCCUGUUCUCUAUCUCUUCUAUGAAGACAUAAAGGAGUGAGUAUCAAGUCUCAGCUGAAGCAUUGUUCUGUGCUCCAGAACCCAAAAAGAGAGAUAAGGAAGAUUCCCGGGUUUUUGAGAUGCUCCCUGCCUGAGGAGACCAUGGAUCUCAUCAUCUGUCACAAAACCUUGAAGAAAAUGAGGAGAACCCCAUGACUACACCACUCUCCUGGCACCACAUGGACCACUCCAUUUCCCCUUUCAGGCUUUGCUGGGGACUGGAAAACACCUGCACUGUGGCCCCAAUGAGUGCUUUGAUGCCCACUACACUGAGCCGAUGACAGACUGUGACCUCAUCUUUCUCGAGCAGGUCUGAAUGACAGAAUGAGUAGUCACUGCAGACAACUGUUGAUACCACUGUGACAAGACCUUGGGAGUAAAGGAGGAUGUCUUCCACCUACCCCUUCUCUGACAGGUCAGGGAAAACCCAAGCUGAAGGAAUAACUACCAAAGACAAAACUUUAACUUAAAAAGGGCUGAGAUUCGAUAUUAAAUGGAUCUGUUAGCCUGUUAGGUCCACAUCAGAUAUCACCAGAAAGGGAAAAAA